rnacentral:rRNA from 1 species
UAGUCCACGCCCUAAACGAUGUCUACUAGUUGUCGGGUCUUUAUUGACUUGGUAACGCAGCUAACGCAUGAAGUAGACCGCCUGGGGAGUACGGCCGCAAGGUUAAAACUCAAACGAAUUGACGGGGACCCGCACAAGCGGUGGAUGAUGUGGAUUAAUUCGAUGCAACGCGAAAAACCUUACCUAUACUUGACAUGUCAGGAACUUUCAAGAGAUUGAUUGGUGCCCGAAAGGGAACCUGAACACAGGUGCUGCAUGGCUGUCGUCAGCUCGUGUCGUGAGAUGUUGGGUUAAGUCCCGCAACGAGCGCAACCCUUGCCUUUAGUUGCCAGCGAUUCGGUCGGGCACUCUAGAGGGACUGCCGGUGUCAAGCCGGAGGAAGGUGGGGAUGACGUCAAGUCCUCAUGGCCCUUACGGUCGGGGCUUCACACGUGCUACAAUGGUCGGUACAGAGGGUCGCGAAGCCGCGAGGUGGAGCCAAUCCCAAAAAGCCGAUCUCAGUUCGGAUUGGAGU